rnacentral:rRNA from 1 species
AUGGUUAAGUGACUAAGCGUACACGGUGGAUGCCUUGGCAGUCAGAGGCGAUGAAGGACGUAUUAACUUGCGAUAAGCCCAGAUUAGGUAGUAAAAACCAUUUGAGUCUGGGAUUUCCGAAUGGGGAAACCCACUAGCAUAAGCUAGUAUCGCUGCGUGAAUACAUAGCGCAGCGAGGCGAACCGGGGGAACUGAAACAUCUAAGUACCCCGAGGAAAAGAAAUCAACCGAGAUUCCGAAAGUAGCGGCGAGCGAAAUUGGACUAGCCCUUAAGCUUUUUAUGCGUCAGGUGAAACUUCUGGAAAGUUGUGCGAUACAGGGUGAUAGCCCCGUAACCGGCAACGCAUUUAAAGUGAAAUCGAGUAGGGCGGGACACGUGAUAUCCUGUCUGAAUAUGGGGGGACCAUCCUCCAAGGCUAAAUACUACUGACUGACCGAUAGUGAACCAGUACCGUGAGGGAAAGGCGAAAAGAACCCCUGUGAGGGGAGUGAAAUAGAACCUGAAACCGUGUACGUACAAGCAGUAGGAGCACCUUCGUGGUGUGACUGCGUACCUUUUGUAUAAUGGGUCAGCGACUUAUAUUCAGUGGCAAGGUUAACCAUCUAGGGGAGCCGUAGGGAAACCGAGUCUUAACUGGGCGUUCAGUCUCUGGAUAUAGACCCGAAACCAGGUGAUCUAGCCAUGGGCAGGUUGAAGGUUGAGUAACAUCAACUGGAGGACCGAACCGACUAAUGUUGAAAAAUUAGCGGAUGACUUGUGGCUAGGGGUGAAAGGCCAAUCAAACCUGGAGAUAGCUGGUUCUCCCCGAAAGCUAUUUAGGUAGCGCCUCGGACGAAUACUACUGGGGGUAGAGCACUGUUAAGGCUAGGGGGUCAUCCCGACUUACCAACCCUUUGCAAACUCCGAAUACCAGUAAGUACUAUCCGGGAGACACACGGCGGGUGCUAACGUCCGUCGUGGAGAGGGAAACAACCCAGACCGCCAGCUAAGGUCCCAAAUUACUACUAAGUGGGAAACGAUGUGGGAAGGCUCAGACAGCCAGGAUGUUGGCUUAGAAGCAGCCAUCAUUUAAAGAAAGCGUAAUAGCUCACUGGUCGAGUCGGCCUGCGCGGAAGAUGUAACGGGGCUAAGUAGUAAACCGAAGCUGCGGCAAUGCACUUUAGUGCAUUGGGUAGGGGAGCGUUCUGUAAGCGGUUGAAGGUGUGUGGUAACGCAUGCUGGACGUAUCAGAAGUGCGAAUGCUGACAUGAGUAACGAUAAAGGGGGUGAAAAACCUCCUCGCCGGAAGACCAAGGGUUCCUGUCCAACGUUAAUCGGGGCAGGGUAAGUCGACCCCUAAGGCGAGGCCGAAAGGCGUAGUCGAUGGGAAACGGGUUAAUAUUCCCGUACUUCUUACAAUUGCGAUGGGGGGACGGAGAAGGCUAGGUGGGCCUGGCGACGGUUGUCCAGGUUCAAGUGCGUAGGCUUAAGAGUUAGGUAAAUCCGGCUCUUUUUAAGGCUGAGACACGACGUCGAGCUACUACGGUAGUGAAGUCAUUGAUGCCAUGCUUCCAGGAAAAGCCUCUAAGCUUCAGAUUGUAAGGAAUCGUACCCCAAACCGACACAGGUGGUCGGGUAGAGAAUACCAAGGCGCUUGAGAGAACUCGGGUGAAGGAACUAGGCAAAAUGGUACCGUAACUUCGGGAGAAGGUACGCUCUCGACGGUGAAGUCCCUCGCGGAUGGAGCUAUUGAGAGUCGCAGAUACCAGGUGGCUGCAACUGUUUAUUAAAAACACAGCACUGUGCAAAAUCGUAAGAUGACGUAUACGGUGUGACGCCUGCCCGGUGCCGGAAGGUUAAUUGAUGGGGUUAGACUUCGGUCGAAGCUCUUGAUCGAAGCCCCGGUAAACGGCGGCCGUAACUAUAACGGUCCUAAGGUAGCGAAAUUCCUUGUCGGGUAAGUUCCGACCUGCACGAAUGGCGUAAUGAUGGCCACGCUGUCUCCACCCGAGACUCAGUGAAAUUGAAAUCGCUGUGAAGAUGCAGUGUACCCGCGGCUAGACGGAAAGACCCCGUGAACCUUUACUACAGCUUGGCACUGAACAUUGACCCUACAUGUGUAGGAUAGGUGGGAGGCUUUGAAGCACAGUCGCUAGAUUGUGUGGAGCCGUCCUUGAAAUACCACCCUUGUAGUGUUGAUGUUCUAACGUUGACCCCUAAUCGGGGUUGCGGACAGUGCCUGGUGGGUAGUUUGACUGGGGCGGUCUCCUCCCAAAGCGUAACGGAGGAGCACGAAGGUGGGCUAAUCACGGUUGGACAUCGUGAGGUUAGUGCAAUGGCAUAAGCCCGCUUGACUGCGAGAAUGACGGUUCGAGCAGGUGCGAAAGCAGGUCAUAGUGAUCCGGUGGUUCUGAAUGGAAGGGCCAUCGCUCAACGGAUAAAAGGUACUCCGGGGAUAACAGGCUGAUACCGCCCAAGAGUUCAUAUCGACGGCGGUGUUUGGCACCUCGAUGUCGGCUCAUCACAUCCUGGGGCUGAAGUCGGUCCCAAGGGUAUGGCUGUUCGCCAUUUAAAGUGGUACGCGAGCUGGGUUUAGAACGUCGUGAGACAGUUCGGUCCCUAUCUGCCGUGGGCGUUGGAAGAUUGAAGGGGGCUGCUCCUAGUACGAGAGGACCGGAGUGGACGAACCUCUGGUGUUCGGGUUGUGUCGCCAGACGCAUUGCCCGGUAGCUAAGUUCGGAAUCGAUAACCGCUGAAAGCAUCUAAGCGGGAAGCGAGCCCUGAGAUGAGUCUUCCCUGAUACUUUAAGUAUCCUAAAGGGUUGUUCGAGACUAGAACGUUGAUAGGCAGGGUGUGUAAGCGUUGUGAGGCGUUGAGCUAACCUGUACUAAUUGCCCGUGAGGCUUAACCAUACAACACCC